rnacentral:rRNA from 1 species
UACGUAGGGACCGAGCGUUGUCCGGAAUCAUUGGGCGUAAAGAGCGUGUAGGCGGCUUGCUAAGUCUUGCGUGAAAUCUCGGGGCUCAACCCCGAGCGGUCGUGGGAAACUGGCAGGCUAGAGUGCGGGAGAGGAGAAUGGAAUUCCUGGUGUAGCGGUGAAAUGCGCAGAUAUCAGGAGGAACACCGGUGGCGAAGGCGGGUCUCUGGGCCGGUACUGACGCUGAGGUGCGAAAGCGUGGGGAGCGAACAGG